UACGUAGGGUGCAAGCGUUUGUCCGGAAUUAUUGGGCGUAAAGAGCUCGUAGGCGGCUUGUUGCGUCGACUGUGAAAACCCGCGGCUUAACUGCGGGCUUGCAGUUGAUACGGGCAGGCUAGAGUUCGGUAGGGGAGACUGGAAUUCCUGGUGUAGCGGUGAAAUGCGCAGAUAUCAGGAGGAAUACCGGUGGCGAAGGCGGGUCUCUGGGCCGAUACUGACGCUGAGGAGCGAAAGCGU
rnacentral:rRNA from 1 species